rnacentral:lncRNA from 1 species
AUGGAACAUUUCUCCCUGGUUGAGAUCUGUGAAAAGAAAGUAAGGGAUGAUGUGAAAAGACUGCAAAAUAAAACAGACUCAAAGACGGGGGUGUGGAUUGGACUGCAAAGGUCCAUUUUUGGCUACAGUCCUGAGUGGAAGUGGAUUUCAGGGUAUAAUGUUGUAAAAUCACAGUUGAAUAGAACGUCGUCCGCCAACUCUGACUUUGACAACCACUGUGGAAAAGUCAUCUUUGAUAAUAAGACAGAAGAAAUCAAGUGGUCCAACGCCAACUGCCAUGAAAAAUUACCAUACAUUUGUCAAAGAAUGAAUGAAAAGCCUUGUACUGAUGAUUAUACAGAGAAGUCAGAGCUUUUCAUUGACAUUGACUGAACUGAUAGCACCAAAGAGAACGAUACGCAGCGUCUCCAAUCAUCAUCAUGUCAAGGUGAGAUUCCUGGAGAAGCGGAUGGAUGACCCAACAACCCCAAUGUGUAUAUAUGCUGUUUGUAUGUAUGUAUGUAUGCUGUAGUGUUGUGUUUCACAGGAAAACUACUUUGGUUACUAUCAUUUGCAAGCUUUGUUAAAUUACCAGUUCACGCACCACUUCUCAGAAGUACCUGUAUUUGUCAAAGAUGCUUCUAUGUAAAGACUCGAUGUAUUAUUUUUGUCAUUAAAAACCUAAAUAUCUGGCUAAUUUAACCGAGCGGUUAUAAGAAACAACAUUUUUAAACAUUGAAUUUGAACUCAUGAUUUUCUUUUUCUCUCAAACAAAAAAACUAAAGAAUAUUCAUUCUGUGCUAAUAAUAAAAUGUAAAGUUAACAAAACUGCAAACUGUAUUUAUUUCAGCGAUAUCUUGAUUCAAGAGAUAGUGAGGUAUACCAAUCUGUCACAGACACCAUUCACACACCUAGGGUGAAAUCUGUCCAUAUUU